CUCGGGGGCGGGGGGGUCCCUCAGCCCACAUUGCAAGAGGGUGCAGGCCAGUCCAAGGGACCCCACCAGUGCAGG
rfam:Myotis lucifugus cont2.710, whole genome shotgun sequence.